rnacentral:tRNA from 1 species
GAGGGUACAGCUCAAGUGGUAGAGCAAAAGCUUAGCAUGCAUCAGGUUCUGGGUUCAACCCUCAGUACCUUCU